CCUACGGGAGGCAGCAGUAAGGAAUAUUGGUCAAUGGACGCAAGUCUGAACCAGCCAUGCCGCGUGCAGGAUGACGGCCCUCUGGGUUGUAAACUGCUUUUAUAGGGGACGAAAAAAGGGCUUUCUAGCUCGUCUGACGGUACCCUAGGAAUAAGCACCGGCUAACUCCGUGCCAGCAGCCGCGGUAAUACGGAGGGUGCAAGCGUUAUCCGGAUUUACUGGGUUUAAAGGGUGCGUAGGUGGGUCGGUAAGUCAGCGGUGAAAUCUUCGAGCUUAACUCGGAAACUGCCAUUGAUACUAUCGAUCUUGAAUCAUCUGGAGGUAAGCGGAAUAUGUCAUGUAGCGGUGAAAUGCUUAGAUAUGACAUAGAACACCAAUUGCGAAGGCAGCUUACUACGGAUGCAUUGACACUGAGGCACGAAAGCGUGGGGAUCAAACAGGAUUAGAUACCCUGGUAGUCCGCGCCCUAAACCGAUGGAUACUCGACAUUUGAGAUAUACUUUAAGUGUCUGAGCGAAAGCAUUAAGUAUCCCACCUGGGAAGUACGAUCGCAAGAUUGAACUCAAGGAAUUGACGGCUGAGACGNGCGACGGACGACGACGAGGGAGGAGG
rnacentral:rRNA from 1 species